CCUCGUGCAUGGAAUAGGAGGGGGCGGUUCCGUUCGCAACUCUAUUUCCUUUAUGCAAAUGAUUCUUACCUAACUACACUUUCAAAAAGUGAGCAAUGAGAGUAUACUGUAAUUUGUUACUUUUAUUUAUUUAUUUCUGUUUUAGGCAAACUAUGGGCUAUCGGUGGUUACGAUGGAGAAUCGAAUUUAUCAACCGUAGAAGUUUAUGAUCCUAAAUUGGACACGUGGACAUUCGUAGCACCCAUGCGUCAUCACGGUGGAGGUGUAGGAGCAGGUGUCAUACCUAAUAUCAUAAAGUAAGUGUUCUUUAUAACUAAUGGCACAAUGGGACAGGUAACCGAAGCUUAGCUCAAUGGUAUUAUAAUUAUUAUCGUGCUACAAAGUAUGCAAGGAUUGGUGGCAUCAAAGACACAUUUUAGGCGAAUAAUAUUGUAGUAAAGUUCUAGUCAUAUUUAAUGCAGCAAAUCUACAAAAACGAAUCUCAAAAUUAGUCAAAAUAUGUUCGCAGUGAUUCUUUGGAAUGUAAUAGAGGUAUGAUCGAAACUUAAAAUAAGUUGUAGUAUUGAAUCCAUUACAGUUCUGUCCAUAAGUAUACAAUUUAAGUCUCCUAAUGUAUCUUUACACUGUUGUAAUUUAUAAUAAUAGUUUGUGUUGUACAGAAUAUAUAAUAAUUA